rnacentral:tRNA from 1 species
GCCGUGGUGGCUCAGUGGUAGAAUUCUUGCCUUCCAUGCAGGAGACCUAGGUUGGAGUCCCAGCCAGUGCA